rnacentral:rRNA from 1 species
CGAAUUCGCCCUUAGAGUUUGAUCCUGGCUCAUGACGAACGCUGGCGGCGUGCUUAACACAUGCAAGUCGAACGAGAAGAGAUGAGAAGCUUGCUUCUUAUCGAUUCGAGUGGCAAACGGGUGAGUAACGCGUAAGCAACCUGCCCUCUAGAUGGGGACAACAGCUGGAAACGGCUGCUAAUACCGAAUACGUUCUUUCUGUCGCAUGGCAGAAGGAAGAAAGGGAGGCUCUUCGGAGCUUUCGCUGGAGGAGGGGCUUGCGUCUGAUUAGCUAGUUGGAGGGGUAACGGCCCACCAAGGCGACGAUCAGUAGCCGGUCUGAGAGGAUGAACGGCCACAUUGGGACUGAGACACGGCCCAGACUCCUACGGGAGGCAGCAUUGGGGAAUCUUCCGCAAUGGACGAAAGUCUGACGGAGCAACGCCGCGUGAACGAUGACGGCCUUCGGGUUGUAAAGUUCUGUUAUACGGGACGAAUGGUACGACGGUCAAUACCCGUCGUAAGUGACGGUACCGUAAGAGAAAGCCACGGCUAACUACGUGCCAGCAGCCGCGGUAAUACGUACGUGGCAAGCGUUGUCCGGAAUUAUUGGGCGUAAAGGGCGCGCAGGCGGCGUCGUAAGUCGGUCUUAAAAGUGCGGGGCUUAACCCCGUGAGGGGACCGAAACUGCGAUGCUAGAGUAUCGGAGAGGAAAGCGGAAUUCCUAGUGUAGCGGUGAAAUGCGUAGAUAUUAGGAGGAACACCAGUGGCGAAAGCGGCUUUCUGGACG